rnacentral:rRNA from 1 species
AUGCACGUUGUUCACAGAGAUAUCAAACCAGCCAAUAUAUUAAUAGGGGAUAAUGCUGUGCCUGGUAUCUCACACCUUUUAUUCGCGGAUGACAGCCUGUUAUUUUUUAAAGCUAACAGCGAUCAGGCUAAUAAGGUAAAGAACAUCCUGGACAACUAUGAGAGAGCCAUUGGACAGCUAAUAAGUCCAUCUAAAUGCUCCCUGCUCCUUGGAAACAAAUGCUCACAAGAAGAUGGACAGGACGUAAUAAAUAUCCUGAAUGUAGUAACGGUGACUUUUGAGGAGAAAUACCUGGGUUUGCCGGUUCCAAAAGGACGUAUGGUAAAAGGGAAAUUCAAGCACACAAAAGAUAAAGCGAGGAAAAGAAUGAAUGAUUGGACAGAAAAAUAUUCUUCCAGUGGAGCUAAAGAGACACUAAUUAAAUCAGUGGCCCAAGCGAUUCCCACUUUUGCAAUGAGUGUCUUCAAGUUCUCAGCAACCCUCUGUGAGGAGCUCAUGCACAUGACCAGAGACUUUUGGUGGGGAGAUGAUGAAGAUCGCCGACGUAUCCAUUGGUUGAGUUGGGAGAAACUUACAAAACGUAAAAGCCAAGGAGGUAUGGGAUUCAAAGAUCUUAAAGUUUUUAACCAGGCUCUUCUCGCUAGGCAAGCCUGGCGACUGAUUGCACAUCCUGACAGCUUGUGCGCGAGAGUACUUAAGGCAAAAUAUUACCAUGGGGCUGAUCUGCUAGACACGGCGUUUAUUCAUAAUGCGUCGCCGGGUUGGCAGGGCAUCAUGCAUGGUUUGGAACUCCUUAAAAAAGGAUGUAUUUGGCGCAUCUGCAACGGAAAUAGUGUUCGCAUUUGGAGAGACAAUUGGAUCCCAAAAGGAAACAUGAAAAUAAACAUGAACCCAACAAGGUCCCGAACUCGGUGGGUAGCAGACCUCAUCGACCAGGAGAGUCACGCUUGGAAGGAGGACUACAUCAUGCGUAUAUUUACAUGCGAAGACGCAAAUGAUAUUUUAAGUAUCCGACUACCAAAUUAUGAUGAUGAGGAUUAUAUUGCGUGGCAGCCCGAAAAAAAUGGAAUUUUCAGUGUUCGUAGCGCAUAUCGGUUAGCCAUGGACGAAAAGGGUUCUGGGGUGAUUGGGUCCAGCCACAAUACCCAAGGAGACCGCAGUAUUUGGAAUAAUAUCUGGAAGACAAAUGUACCCCAAAAAGUACGUAUUUUUACAUGGAGACUAGCAUCGGAGUCACUGGCGAUUCAAACUAAUAGAUUUCGUCGCAUCCCAGGCCUCACCCCGAUUUGUAAUGUAUGUGGGGCCGAGGAUGAAACAGGCUUCCAUAUGGCACAUCGAUGCACAUUUGCAAGGGCCUUGUGGCACGAACUCAAGGAGGCAUGGAACCUGCCUCCUGAGCAGGAAGUAGAAUAUACUGGAAGGGAUUGGGUCCUAAUCUUGCUAGAUAAGGUGAGUGAAGAUAUGAAACAAAAAUUUAUGCUAUUUUGGUGGCGUGUUUGGCACCAUAGAAAUGACGCGAUCUUCGCAAAAGGUAAAGCGAAAAUUUCCCACUCUGCUCGUUUUCUGCAAAACUACCUUGCAAACAUCCGCUUGAUUGCGGAGGGAACUUCUGAGAUAGAUCGAAAAGGGAAAAGUCCGAUGGUUAACUUGCCAUCAGUGCAACAACAUGAUCAUACAAAGGAAAAAGGAUGGACAAUGCCAGAGCUCGGAUGGGCUAAGGUCAAUGUUGAUGGAAGUUUUUUGGAGGAAAAUAGGAGUGGAGCCUGGGGAGCUGUGAUUCGAGAUCAUGAUGGAAGAAUUAUCUUAUCAGCUUGGGAUUAUAUACCGCGGUGCAAUGGAGCGGACUGCGCGGAAGCCAUGGCUUGCCUAGAAGGACUAAGGAUGGCAAUGUCGGGGACGAAUCUACCCUUAAUCAUCGAGACGGAUUGCAGCUCGGUGACAAAGGCGCUUAUCCUCUCGUCUAUUGAUAGAUCGGAGGUUGCAACAAUUGUAAAGGAGUUUCAAGCCAUGAAAGGGAACAGAGAAGUAAAAGUUUGCAAAGUAGAUAGAAGGGACAAUAGGUUAGCUCAUAGUCUUGCCCAGUUGGGGCGUAGAGAGUUGCUUGGUGGGGUUAGGCAAGGCUCUGUGCCAACCUGCGUGUUGAGUGAGGCCUUGCACGAUUGUACGAACUAUGUUUCUCUACUUAAUUAA